ACACGCUGGCGGCGUUGCCUAACACAUGCAAGUCGAACGAACGGCGAGAAGCUUGCUUCUCAAAGUUAGUGGCGGACGGGUGAGUAGCGCGUGAGUAACCUGCCUAUCAGAGGGGGAUAACGUCUGGAAACGGACGCUAAUACCGCAUGAUACCACAGGUAUCGCAUGAUACACUGGUCAAAGGAGCAAUCCGCUGAUAGAUGGACUCGCGUCUGAUUAGAUAGUUGGUGAGGUAACGGCUCACAAAGUCGACGAUCGGUAGCCGACCUGAGAGGGUGAUCGGCCACAUUGGGACUGAGACACGGCCCAGACUCCUACGGGAGGCAGCAGUGGGGGAUAUUGCGCAAUGGGGGCAACCCUGACGCAGCAACGCCGCGUGAAGGAUGACGGUCUUCGGAUUGUAAACUUCUUUAAGUGUGGAAGAAAUUGACGGUACACACAGAAUAAGCCACGGCUAACUACGUG
rnacentral:rRNA from 1 species